AGAAUCAACGCUGGCGGCGUGCCUAACACAUGCAAGUCGAACGCGGUUACCCCGCAAGGGGUGACUGAGUGGCAAACGGGUGAGUAACGCGUGGGUGACCUACCUUCGAGUGGGGGAUAACGUUUCGAAAGGAACGCUAAUACCGCAUGACAUCCUGCCUUUGGACAGGCGGAGAUCAAAGCCGGGGAUCGCAAGACCUGGCGCUUAAAGAGGGGCCCGCGUCCGAUUAGCUAGUUGGUGGGGUAACGGCUCACCAAGGCGACGAUC
rnacentral:rRNA from 1 species